GACUGCACAGUUUCUGUGACUGAGCCUCCAAAACACCUUCUUUGAAACCACACAUGAUAGAAGGACUUUACGUUUGCAGCAGCACUACUAAAGUUGGCAGGAAUGUUGCUGCAGGAAAACAUCCCUGGAGAUCACCAUCAUUGUCAGACUGACUGUGCCUCCUCUGUGCAGUGUCAAGAUCCUCCCUAAAUGAGUGUUCCUCAGCUAUCCUGCUUCUGUACUGCUUGCCACACAUCAAACACUGGCUGGGUGACAGGAC